rnacentral:rRNA from 1 species
UAACGAAUCUUGGGCAAUGGACGCAAGUCUGAACCAGCCAUGCCGCGUGCAGGACGACGGCCCUAUGGGUUGUAAACUACUUUUGUUUAGGGACAAUACCGGUUACGUGUAACCGUUUGAGGGUACUAAACGAAUAAGGAUCGGCUAACUCCGUGCCAGCAGCCGUGGUAAUACGGGGGAUGCAAGCGUUAUCCGGAUUUAUUGGGUUUAAAGGGUGCGUAGGCGGUUUGAUAAGUCAGCGGUGAAAUAUUUCAGCUUAACUGAAAGGGUGCCGUUGAUACUGUCAGGCUUGAAUAUGGUUGCUGUGGGUGGAAUGUGUGGUGUAGCGGUGAAAUGCUUAGAUAUCACACAGAAUAUCGAUUGCGAAGGCAGCUCACAAAGCCAUUAUUGACGCUGAUGCACGAAAGUGUGGGGAUCAAACA